UACGUAGGGGGCAAGCGUUGGUCCGGAAUCAUUGGGCGUAAAGAGCGUGUAGGCGGCCCGGUAAGUCCGCCGUGAAAAGUCCAGGGGCUCAACCCUGGAAAUGCCGGUGGAUACGGGCGGGCUAGAGUUCGGUAGGGGAGAAUGGAAUUCCUGGUGUAGCGGUGAAAUGCGCAGAGUAAUCAGGAGGAACACCCGGUGGCGUAAG
rnacentral:rRNA from 1 species